rfam:Schistosoma mansoni strain Puerto Rico chromosome 2, complete genome
GCACUGCUGAGGAGUCCCAUACGAGGACGAAACGGUCGUCCAGUGU